CCUACGGGUGGCAGCAGUAGGGAAUCUUUCACAAUGGGCGAAAGCCUGAUGGAGCAACGCCGCGUGAAGGAUGAAGGCCUUCGGGUUGUAAACUGCUUUUAUAAGCGAGAAAUAUGAUGGUAACUUAUGAAUAAGGAUCGGCUAACUACGUGCCAGCAGCCGCGGUCAUACGUAGGAGCCGAGCAUUAUCCGGAGUGACUGGGUGUAAAGGUUGCGUAGGUGGGAUAAGAAGUAGCUAGGGGAAUCUGGUGGCUCAACCAAUCAGACUAUUUGCCAAACUGUUAAGCUCGAGACCGUUAGAGGUAAGUGGAAUUUCUAGUGUAGGGGUGAAAUCCGUAGAUAUUAGGAGGAACACCAAUGGCGUAGGCAGGUUACUGGGACGGUUCUGACGCUAAGGCACGAAAGCGUAGGGAGCAAACAGGAUUAGAUACCCGAGUAGUC
rnacentral:rRNA from 1 species